rnacentral:rRNA from 1 species
UACGGAGGGAGCUAGCGUUAUUCGGAAUUACUGGGCGUAAAGCGCACGUAGGCGGCUUUGUAAGUUAGAGGUGAAAGCCUGGAGCUCAACUCCAGAAUUGCCUUUAAGACUGCAUCGCUUAAUCCAGGAGAGGUGAGUGGAAUUCCGAGUGUAGAGGUGAAAUUCGUAGAUAUUACGGAAGAACACCAGUGGCGAAGGCGGCUCACUGGACUGGUUCUGACGCUGAGGUGCGAAAGCGUGGGGAGCAACAGGA